CUGAUACUACACAAAAUAUAUGGUUUUCAUUUAAUGAAUCAACACAAAUAAACAUAUAAACAAUUUGCAUACUUUUCUGUACCAGCUAUAGCCUGGAAUUACAAUAUUUGCGUUUUUUUUAAGGUUGAAAUCCCUGCAUCAAUUAGAUUUGGAGCAGUUAGAAUGAGACAAUUGGGGUUGAGUCAUCAUCAGAUAACUGCGCCCUAAUGGGUCACAUCAAACCGCCAUCAAAUAAUAUUGUCCUAAUAAGCUUUAUAGAAUAAGCCUCAGGCAGUAUAGCUGUGAGCAGGGACUACAUGAGCCAUCAGCCCAUAACUACUUACUGGUGACCCAAAUCAUUACUGCGUAGCUUCU